UACGAAGGGGGCUAGCGUUGCUCGGAAUCACUGGGCGUAAAGCGCACGUAGGCGGCUUUUUAAGUCAGGGGUGAAAUCCUGGAGCUCAACUCCAGAACUGCCUUUGAUACUGAAAGCUUGAGUCCGGGAGAGGUGAGUGGAACUGCGAGUGUAGAGGUGAAAUUCGUAGAUAUUCGCAAGAACACCAGUGGCGAAGGCGGCUCACUGGCCCGGUACUGACGCUGAGGUGCGAAAGCGUGGGGAGCAAACAGG
rnacentral:rRNA from 1 species